AUGGGGACGGUCAGCGAGCUCUGCGCCUCCAGCUUCCAGGCCUUCCUGUGCCCCUCGGUGGCCACCAAGGCAGGUAGGUGCCCCGUGCCCUCCGCUUCCUGCAGCGUCCCCAUCCCCAUGGCGGACGUAGCACCCGUGUCUCUGGCUCCUGCUCCAUAUGGCUCAUGCCAUCGGCAGCACAGAGAGUCCCGGCCGUCUCGCCGCCCCCGUGCGCUGCCGGGCUCAGGCCCCCGCAAGCACGGAUCCGGCAGGACGGCUGGGUGCUGGGCGCUCCCCACGGUGCUGGUGCGGGCAGAGCCGGGGAGCCCAUGGCAGCAGCCAGUGGGUGCCUGCAGCACGGCGUGGCUGAGCCCCGUCCUGCCCCAGCCCCUUGCCCUCCUGCCUCCGGCCCUGCCGGGGGCGAUGCCCUUGCUGCAGCCCCGCUUCAGAGCAGGAGCGAGCGUGCGUGGCUGCCUUCUCCAAAGGAAACCUGCCCAGGGCAGCCCAGUGCCCGCUGCGUCGGGGCUGGCACCGCAGGCUGUCAGCGCCUGGGAGCUGCUGCUGCUGUCCCUGGGCUCCUGCUCGCAGGCUGGGACCUGGGGCGGGCUGAGAGCAGCUCCCGGCAGCGCUGCCUGGGCUGAGGCCGAGCACGGUGAGAGGUGCCGGCGUGGAGGGCGAGCGAGGUGCAUGGCAGGGGGUGCAGCACACGACGCAGGGCUGCAGCACGGCCCAGCCGUCAGUGGCUCGGUGAGAGUGGAUGUGGCCAAGCUGCUGCUGCUGCUCGCGGGCCACGUCGUGUGCCCUGGUGGUGCCCCAGCCUUGCGGCUGGGCCAGGGGCCCCCGAGCCUGGAACUGGCGGGGAGCGAGGCAGCGGCUGUGGGGUGCAGGGCCUGGGGGUGCAGGAGCCGGGUGACGGGGCAGGGCUGCUCCCGAGGGGCUGGAGGGCCCUGGCCAGCUCUCGGCGCUGGGCCUGGCUGCCUGGGAGGGUCUUCCCUGGAGCCGCCCGACCCCAGCCCUUCUCCUGACGCACCUCAGCUGUCUGUGGGGAAGGACGGGGCUGACGCAACCCAGGAUGUGCACAGAGCACGGUGA
rnacentral:lncRNA from 1 species